GCUGGGUGUGGUGGCUCACGCCUGUAAUCCCAGCACUUUGGGAGGCCGAGGCAGGUGGAUCACCUGAGGUCAGGAGUUCGAGACCAGCCUGGCCUACAGGGUGAAACCCUGUCUCUA
rnacentral:SRP_RNA from 1 species